rnacentral:rRNA from 1 species
UAUGUGAUCGUCUCUCGCAUAUCAAUAAGCGGAGGAAAAGAAACUAACAAAGAUUCCCCUAGUAACGGCGAGUGAAGCGGGAAGAGCUCAAAUUUGAAAUCUUAAAGGGUUUCCCUUUACGAAUUGUAGUUUAAAGAAGUGUUUUCUGUUGAGGUUUUGGUAAAAGUUCUUUGGAAUAGGACAUCAUAGAGGGUGAGAAUCCCGUAUUUGACCUUUACUUUCAACUUUGUGAUACACUUUCAAAGAGUCGGAUUGUUUGGGAAUGCAGUCCAAAAUGGGUGGUAAAUUUCAUCUAAAGCUAAAUAUUGGCGAGAGACCGAUAGCGAACAAGUACCGUGAGGGAAAGAUGAAAAGAACUUUGAAAAGUAGAGUUAAACAGUACGUGAAAUUGUCAAAAGGGAAGCGUUUGACACCAGUGUUGUUUUUCUGAAAAUCAAUUAAAGAACUGUUUAUGCUAAGUUGUUUAGACUUUAUCAGCUAACUGUUUAGUUUUAGGCUUUUCUUUAAUGCACUUUUCAGUUAACAAGUCAACAUCAAUUUCUUUUGCUGUAAAAAAGCUUGAGGAAGGUGGCUUGAGAUUCGUCUUAAGUGUUUAUAGCCUCUUGCCUAUGCAGUCGGAGAGAUUGAGGUCUGCAGCGUAGAUCCUUCGGGGCUAAAUGCAUUUGUGCUAAGUUAUAGCAUUUUAUAGACAACUUGUUGACUAUGAUUUGUCUUGUAGCUUACUCGCUUAUGUUAUUUUACCUACGCUUAGGAUGUUGAUCUACAGAGCGAGAGU